rnacentral:lncRNA from 1 species
GUGACUUCAGGGCUGCCAGGGCACCUGCACCGGCCUCCUCGGGGACCACAGCCCUCGCGGCGGCUUUGCUGGACCCUUGCAGAGCCCAGACGCGGCGAGGGUGGGAGCGAGCAGCGCUGGGGCAGCGCGGUGGGAGCUGCAGCAUGGGAGAGGUGGGUUUGUUUGUGCCCUCGGAAAGGGGAAGCGGUGAGAGGGCUGAGGCGGCGGCCCCCGGGAGCAAACCGCCCUCAUGGCCGCUGCUUCCCCCGUGAGGCUCCGCUUCUCGCUCUGCUCCAGCAGCUGGAGAAGAAGCCAGGGCUGUCAGAUGUGAGGAUCGUGCACGAGGAGCCUGCCACGGGAUGCCUCCAGCCCUCAGGGGUCUGACUGCAAGCCGUGCUUACGGGAGUUCACUGACCACCACAGCCCUGCCUUGGAGUAUCCCACCCCCAAAAGCUUCCUCCCAUCCCUGAUUGCUGAAAAUGAUUCCUUCUGCACCAGCAUGGCUGAGGAGAAGGAGGACUCGUCUUCCACAGAGCUGGAUGUGCCAGCAGCAGACUUGCACAGCAGCACGGAGGAUCUCCUCUCAGACUCUGCUCUCCAGGGCACGGAGUAUUACAAAGAUCUGGGCCUGAGCCUGCCGUCUGCCAAAACAGCGCCAGACACGGCAGCACAGCCAGAACAAGGAUCCCAGACUGUGUCUGCCCUUCUCUCACUGGAAGAGAGACCAAGGGCUCUGAACAAACUGUCUGUGGAUGUUGCUUUUUCCAAUCCCGUUUCCUGCUCAGUACGUUAUGGCGAGGCUGACUGUCGUUUUCUGAACAAAGGCCACCUGUGCUCCUGUGCAGCCAUGCCAGAUGAUGGGACCAGCACUUCUGAGCAUCCUGCAGAGGCAGACAAUGAGCUGGACCUGCAGGAGGCUCAGGAUUCCUUCCCCACGCUGGUGAGAUCGAUGUCCACCUCCCGGAGGCACAGCUGGGAGAGCCCCGUGUCACCCAUGGACUGCAGGCGCAGGUUCAGCCUGGAUGUCACAGAGCUGGGCAGUGACCCAGAGCAGGAAGAUGUGGAGAAGAGGAGCCAGUCCUGCAUCCAGCCUCAUGUGUCCCUUCAGCUGCCCAAAGGAGAGCGGGGAGCCUGGAGCAGCAGCCGGGGUGGCACAGUGAUCAAAGUGGAGAUAGAGCCGCUGUGCCCAGACCUCGUGGCCAGCCCCAGCCUGCAGGAGGUGAAAUGUGUCAGCAAUGGGAAGAGACUGAGGUCCAAGUCUGUCCCAUCAGCCUGUGAGACCGUUGCCUCCCCUCAGAUACCUGACAAUUUCAACACUUCUCUUCCAGCUGUGGAAGGUUGGUAUAGACUUUAUGCCAU